GACGAACGCUGGCGGCGUGCUUAACACAUGCAAGUCGAGCGGUAAGGCCCUUUCGGGGGUACGACGAGCGGCGAACGGGUAAGGUAACACGUGGGUGACCUGCCCUCAGCUCUGGGAUAAGCCUGGGAAACCGGGUCUAAUACUGGAUAUGACUCCAUGACGCAUGUUGUGGGGUGGAAAGCCUUGUGCGGCUGAGGAUGGGCCCGCGGCCUAUCAGCUUGUUGGUGGGGUGAUGGCCUACCAAGGCGA
rnacentral:rRNA from 1 species